GCGAAGUCAUGCAGAUAUCAGAAACCACUGGCGGCGCUCCUGAAGAUAAAAAUAAAAGCAACGUUAGUAUUUGGGAACAGACAGAGGUACUGCUGAACACGGAGUUAAGGAACGACUGAAUGAAGAAGGAUUCACUAUGGAGGAUUCACUAUGGAGGAUUCACUAUGGAGGGUUGGAGUGUUUGAUGUUCUUCAGCCUGCUGGGUGUUAAAAUAUUAAGACACGUGUGAACAGAAGUAUAGGACGGCACCACUAGUCACAGGCAAAUCGGGGCCGGUUUUGCGCAAAAUUGACGGUAAUUACAGCCACGGUCCACCGGCAUCUCUAAGUAGGAGCAUCGAGUCGUUAACCUGGUGGAGCGCCGCCAGUGGUUUCUGAUAUCUGCAUGACUUCGCUCCUUACAGCGCGAGGUUGUUACCUAUCCGGCAGUCACUUAUCAAUUGGUUUACUCCCCUGUGGUGUGACUGAUGAGUUGUUGUCAUGUGAUCUCCGGCCCUGGUGACACGUCCCUGACUACACAAGCUAAAGCUCCACUACACUACGCUGGACCAGGAUAGAACCGUUGGCCACUAUUUGUUUAUUUACCUUUCACUGAACCUCGUUCGCAUGCAGCACUUCCUGAGCAUGUGAAUAGAAGGAAUGCUGUGACCUUUAGUUGUGAAGCUUUGUUGUUAUUAUUUGCAUAUUUUAUUGCUAAUUCUUUACCUAUGGCCUCCAUUUUAACUAUGUGUAAAUGUUUUUCUACACUUUUAUUGAUCUGUAUAAUUGUUUGAAAGCCCCACCCACCUUAUGUUGGUGCCCAAUUUGGUGUAUGUAAAGCACUGCUUGUGUUAUGUCAUGUAUGCCAAUCUGAGGAAGGAGGACUAAGCCUCCAAAACGCGUCAUUGGAUUUUUAUACUAAUAAAUAUAGUGCGACUGAGCACUU